AGAGUUUGAUCAUGGCUCAGGAUGAACGCUGGCGGUCUGCUUAACACAUGCAAGUCGAACGAGGGUCUUCGGACCCGAGUGGCGGACGGGUGAGUAACACGUGAGAAUCUGCCCUUUGGAGGGGGAUAACGACUGGAAACGGUCGCUAAUACCCCAUGUGCCGAGAGGUGAAAUGAGAUUCGCCAAAGGAUGAGCUCGCGACCGAUUAGCUAGUUGGUAGUGUAAGGGACUACCAAGGCUGUGAUCGGUAGCUGGUCUGAGAGGAUGAUCAACCACACUGGGACUGAGACACGGCCCAGACUCCUACGGGAGGCAGCAGUGGGGAAUUUUCCGCAAUGGGCGCAAGCCUGACGGAGCAAGACCGCGUGCGGGACGAAGGUCUGUGGAUUGUAAACCGCUUUUGAUAGGGAAGAAGCAAGUGACGGUACCUAUCGAAUCAGCCUCGGCUAACUCCGUGCCAGCAGCCGCGGUAAUACGGAGGAGGCAAGCGUUAUCCGGAAUUAUUGGGCGUAAAGCGUCCGUAGGUGGUGGUUCAAGUCAGCGGUUAAAGCGUGGGGCUUAACCUCAUAAAGGCCGUUGAAACUGAGCUGCUAGAGUGCGAUAGGGGCAAGGGGAAUUCCCAGUGUAGCGGUGAAAUGCGUAGAUAUUGGGAAGAACACCGGUGGCGAAAGCGCCUUGCUGGGUCUGCACUGACACUGAGGGACGAAAGCUAGGGGAGCGAAAGGGAUUAGAUACCCCUGUAGUCCUAGCUGUAAACGAUGGGUACUAGGCGUUGUCCGUAUCGACCCGGGCAGUGCCGUAGCUAACGCGUUAAGUACCCCGCCU
rnacentral:rRNA from 1 species